rnacentral:tRNA from 1 species
UCCUCGAUAGCUCAGUGGUAGAGCAUUCGGCUGUUAACCGAAGGGUCGUUGGUUCGAACCCAACUCGGGGAGC